rnacentral:lncRNA from 1 species
AUAUAUUUAUUAAAUGUCUUUCUUACCUGCACUUACGUCCGUCUCUAUGUCUUCCCUACACCUCACCCUGACAAUUACUAUAUUUUACAUUACCUUUGACUUUAAUUUGAGGCAAUAUGAACCCAAUAUAUUUCAUGUUUUGUCAAAUUCAUUUAUUUUAUUAAUAUACAUCAAUUCCUGCAUUCCAGACCUGAAAUACAGUUCAAAAAAGUUUGUGACACAAACAUAUAGUAUUGAAAUUAAGUUGGCCAGACAAAAUAUUAGUAUUAAAAUGCAGCUUCAUUAGUACUUCAUUGUAUACAGGCACACACUGUCUAUAUGUACAGUAUAUGCAGCAUUAUAACCAUUGUCCCAGUUUCAUUGUUUUAGGGGGUAUCUUUGAGACUAGCCGUUAUUUCCUUCAGGACAGGCGUUUUUUGGGGUGUGUGCAUGCUUGUUUGUUCUUCCUCUCCUCUCUUUCAGCGCUGUUGUGGAGGGCUCCUGAAAUCCUGAAGCUAAUGGCACUCAGAAGGGGGAUGUGUAGAGUUUUGUCAUCAUCGCACAGGAAGUGGUGUACCGCCGAGGACCCUUCUACAUCCCCAGCAGCUCUCUGGGGGCCAGAGUGGGAGAAAAUAAGUUGUGAAGUUGCCAGAUCUUGCACCUGUCCCAACUCCACUUCUGCGUGACGAACCAGCAAAGUCCUCCCGCCUUUUAAGCCUACCUUUUAAAAUCCUUCUCGGCUUUUCCCUGUAUUUUUAGAUCAGUGGCUGCUCAGCUCAUAGCUGGGAGACGGUCCGCGUCGAGACCUAUGAAUGCGUCACUGUUUAUUUCAGUGACAUUGAGGGUUUCACCGCCAUGUCCGCCUCCCUCAAACCAAUGCAGGUGAUGAUAGACAUUGAAACAAGCCUUUAAACAGUGGUGGCAUGAAAAAACAUAUAUAUUCAGUGUUUAUAAAGGACUUAUACUGUAUGUAAUUGAUUGCAGGUGUGGCCUGAUCAGUCACUGGGUCAUAAGUGAGAUAGCAGUGUUAAAUGUUCAGUGUUAAUAGGACACUAUGCAGUGCACCAUUUACUCAUGCUAGUGUUGUUUAUUAACUCAUUAGUGUUGUAGCACUAAAACCUAAAGUGUUAAUUUUACACCGUUUGGAGUAUAUAUAUGGUCCCACACUACAAAAAGUAAAUAUUACAUUAUUAAAGUGUUAAACCUAGUAUUAAUGACAUUAAAUGGUGAAAAUGAAAUAAAA